ACGCUCGACACCUACGUGAGGCAGCAGUCGGGAAUAUUGCGCAAUGGAGGAAACUCUGACGCAGUGACGCCGCGUGCAGGAAGAAGGUUUUCGGAUUGUAAACUGCUUUAGACAGGGAAGAACAAAUGACAGUACCUGUAGAAUAAGCUCCGGCUAACUACGUGCCAGCAGCCGCGGUAAUCUGAGGCGGGCUGGCGAAGGC
rnacentral:rRNA from 1 species